AGUUCGAUCCUGGCUCAGAUUGAACGCGCUGGCCGGGAUGCUUUACACAUGCAAGUCGAACGGCAGCACGGACUUCGGUCUGGUGGCGAGUGGCGAACGGGUGAGUAAUGUAUCGGAACGUGCCUAGUAGCGGGGGAUAACUACGCGAAAGCGUAGCUAAUACCGCAUACGCCCUUCGGGGAAAGCGGGGGACCUUCGGGCCUCGCACUAUUAGAGCGGCCGAUAUCGGAUUAGCUAGUUGGUAGGGUAACGGCUCACCAAGGCGACGAUCCGUAGCUGGUUUGAGAGGACGACCAGCAGCCACACUGGGACUGAGACACGGCCCAGACUCCUACAGGAGGCAGCAGUGGGGAAUUUUGGACAAUGGGAAACCUGAUCCAGCCACUCCGCGUGUGCGAUGAAGGCCUUCGGGUUGUAAAGCACUUUUUUGGCAGGAAAGAAACGGCACGGGAUAAUACCCCGUGCAACUGACGGUACCUGCAGAAUAAGCACCGGCUAACUACGUGCCAGCAGCCGCGGUAAUACGUAAGUGCAAGCGUUAAUCGGAAUUACUGGGCGUAAAGCGUGCGCAGGCGGUUCGGAAAAGAAAGAUGUGAAAUCCCAAGAGCUUAACUUUGGAACUGCAUUUUUAACUACCGAGCUAGAGUGUGUCAGAGGGAGGUGGAAUUCCGCGUGUAGCAGUGAAAUGCGUAGAUAUGCGGAGGAACACCGAUGGUGAAGGCAGCCUCCUGGGAUAACACUGACGCUCAUGCACGAAAGCGUGGGAGCAAACAGGAUUAGAUACCCUGGUAGUCCACGCCCUAAACGAUGUCAACUAGCUGUUGGGGCCUUCGGGCCUUGGUAGCGCAGCUAACGCGUGAAGUUGACCGCCUGGGGUACGGUCGCAAGAUUAAAACUCAAAGGAAUUGACAGGGACCCGCACAAGCGGUGGAUGAUGUGGAUUAAUUCGAUGCAACGCGAAAAACCUUACCUACCCUUGACAUGUCUGGAAUCCCGAAGAGGUUUGGGAGUGCUCGCAAGAGAACCGGAACACAGGUGCUGCAUGGCUGUCGUCAGCACGUGUCGUGAGAUGUUGGGUUAGGUCCCGCAGCAGGCGCAACCCUUGUCAUUAGUUGCUACGAAAGGGCACUCUAAUGAGACUGCCGGUGGCAAACCGGAGGAAGGUGGGGAUGACGUCAAGUCCUCAUGGCCCUUAUGCGGGGUAGGGCUUCACACGUCAUACAAUGGUCGGGACAGAGGGUCGCCAACCCGCGGGGAGCCAAUCCCAGAGAAACCCGAUCGUAGUCCGGAUCGCAGUCUGCAACUCGACUGCGUGAAGUCGGAAUCGCUAGUAAUCGCGGAUCCAGCAUGUCGCAGUGAAUACGUUCCCGGGUCUUGUACACACCGCCCGUCACACCAUGGGAGUGGGUUUUACCAAGUAGUUAGCCUAACCGUAAGGAGGGCGAUUACCACGGUAGGAUUCAUGACUGGGGUGAAGUCGUAACAAGGUAA
rnacentral:rRNA from 1 species